rnacentral:rRNA from 1 species
UACGUAGGUGGCAAGCGUUAUCCGGAUUUAUUGGGCGUAAAGGGAACGCAGGCGGUCUUUUAAGUCUGAUGUGAAAGCCUUCGGCUUAACCGGAGUAGUGCAUUGGAAACUGGGAGACUUGAGUGCAGAAGAGGAGAGUGGAACUCCAUGUGUAGCGGUGAAAUGCGUAGAUAUAUGGAAGAACACCAGUGGCGAAGACGAUUCUCUGGACUGUAACUGACGCUGAGGCUCGAAAGCGUGGGGAGCAAACAGG